ACAAUGCGGGACUAUACGUCUUGCAAUUGGAUUGAGAACAAUGUACAACUCUUAUCGAUAAGCCAUUGGAGGGCAAGUCUGGUGCCAGCAGCCGCGGUAAUUCCAGCUCCAAUAGCGUAUAUUAACGUUGUUGCAGUUAAAAAGCUCGUAGUUGAAGUGUGGGUGAUCGCUAUUGUGAGACUUCGGUCUCUCGAUAGUAAGUCACCCCCUUCCAGUAUCCAGUAGUGGGUAUUCACUUACUUACUAUUGUGUGUUGGUCCUUUACUGUGAGAAAAUUAGAGUGUUCAAAGCAGGCGUUUGCUUGAAUAGAUUAGCAUGGAAUAAUAAUUGAAGGCUUUCGUGUUCGAUUUGAUUGGUUUGUUCAUGGAAGCAA
rnacentral:rRNA from 1 species